rnacentral:lncRNA from 1 species
GAAUUAAAGAUUUGGAAAAUAAAAAGACCGCAAUCAUAAUAUAGCAUGAUAUAGCAAAAAUAUAGCAAUUUGCUAUAUCAUGAUGUAGCAAAAUUGCUAUAAUCAACCUAAGUAACUGCCUAGGAUCACUAUUGAAAAUUGCUGGUACAUAGGAUAGCUUUUAAAACAAAGUAGCAUCUGAAUCAACUUUGGGAAGCAGGUUAUAACAUGUCUUGAGACUGAUGGAAAUGAUCCAGUAGCAAGAAGUAAAUUGGCGGUAUAGGAAUGAAGCCUUUGAAUAAGUAAAAACGAUCAAAUGACAAGGGGAAGAGCAAAAGACAAAGCUAUAGAAACAUGCGGGCAAGGACAAACCAGGUUAGGGAGAGCAGGAAGUGAUCUGGAAUAUUGCCAUCAGGAUUGAGUCUAGGAGCCACCAGAAAGAUGUACUUGUCUGUCUUCAACAGGGGAUCAUAUGCUGCUGCAGGAGUUGAGGACAAAUAUUAGAAUAGAGGAGACGCCUUGGUCAAUUAAUUAUCUAGACAUCCAUAAUCAUCAUGAGAACCUACCUAGAACUUCUGAGGAUAGAAUCCAUUGAAAACAGCAAGGACCAAAGUCUUGGAU